rnacentral:rRNA from 1 species
UACGUAGGGUGCAGGCGUUAAUCGGAAUUACUGGGCGUAAAGCGUGCGCAGGCGGUUUUGUAAGCCAGAUGUGAAAGCCCCGGGCUCAACCUGGGAAUGGCAUUUGGGACUGCAAGGCUGGAGUAUGGCAGAGGAGACUAGAAUUCCUGGUGUAGCAGUGAAAUGCGUAGAUAUCAGGAGGAAUACCGAUGGCGAAGGCAGGUCUCUGGGCCAAUACUGACGCUCAUGCACGAAAGCGUGGGGAGCAAACAGG